CGGCGCUGAGGACUGAGGCGACCGUUGCGGGACAGUGGGAAAGGGAUCUCAAGGGAGGAGGUGGGGUAUGGGCGGGGACUCAAGGGGAGGGGGCAAGAGCGGGGUCCUAGGGAGGAGGUGGGGCAAGGGCGGGGUAGGGGCGGGCCCGGAAGAAGGGAGGUGCUUGCAUCCCCAGCUUUGCUCUCUCAAGCGGUUUUCUGAGCCCAGCCCAGGCAGCAUAAAGAUGCACCUGUACCUUAACUCCUCAUUCCUCGGGAUCUGCCCUGGGGUCCUCACCAGGCUUCUUAACUGGACUGUAGGGAAGUUGUUUCCACUCCGAAGUCCCAGGUGACCAGGCUGGGUUUGCCUGCUCUCCCAAGACCCUCUCUGCUGCUUCCAGGCGGAAGAACUGACGGAGGUGGACGUUCUUGGGCCAGUCUCAGCACUCUGCUUCCCUCCAGGACUGGGCACUUGCCCAGCCCAGCCCUCAAUGCAGGAGCUUGUCCUGGGACAGGCAGAGAAAGGAUCAGGAACAGAGAGAAGCCCUCAGAGGAACAGGAAAGGAGGCUGCGCUGGGGCAGAAGAGACAGCUGGGAAGGAC
rnacentral:lncRNA from 1 species